UGGGGGAUAUUGCACAAUGGGCGAAAGCCUGAUGCAGCGACGCCGCGUGGGGGAUGAAGGCCUUCGGGUUGUAAACUUCUUUUGCUCUGAACAAGGCGCACCAUGGGGUGUGUUGAGUGUAGGGGUUGAUUAGCGCCGGCUAACUACGUGCCAGCAGCCGCGGUAAUACGUAGGGCGCGAGCGUUGUCCGGAAUUAUUGGGCGUAAAGGGCUUGUAGGUGGCUGUUGCGUCUGUCGUGAAAGCUCAUGGCUUAACUGUGGGUUUGCGGUGGGUACGGGCUGGCUUGAGUGCAGUAGGGGAGGCUGGAAUUCCUGGUGUAGCGGUGGAAUGCGCAGAUAUCAGGAGGAAUACCGGUGGCGAAGGCGGGUCUCUGGGCUGUUACUGACACUGAGGAGCGAAAGCAUGGGGAGCGAACAGG
rnacentral:rRNA from 1 species